rnacentral:rRNA from 1 species
AGCGAACGCUGGCGGCGUGCCUAACACAUGCAAGUCGAACGUGAAAAGGGAAACCUGAGUAAAGUGGCGUACGGGUGAGUAACGCGUAGGUAAUCUACCCCAGAAUCUGGAAUAACCUGCCGAAAGGCGGGCUAAUACUGGAUAGAGCGAGGGAACUCGUAAGAGAGUUUUUCGGGAAAGGGAGCCCGCAAGGGCCUUCGUUCUGGGAUGAGCCUGCGUCUCAUUAGCUAGUUGGUAAGGUAACGGCUUACCAAGGCGAUGAUGAGUAGCUGGUCUGAGAGGAUGAUCAGACACACUGGAACUGAAACACGGUCCAGACUCCUACGGGAGGCAGCAGUGGGGAAUCUUGCGCAAUGGACGAAAGUCUGACGCAGCCACGCCGCGUGAGUGAAGAAGGCCUUCGGGUUGUAAAGCUCUGUCGGAUGGGACGAACAUCUUCAUAGUGAAUAGCUAUGAGGACUGACGGUACCAGCAAAGGAAGCACCGGCUAACUCCGUG